UAGGCUCAUGGAAAGGAUCUUGGGGACAGUUCCAGUAGCACACACAGCAACAGGCGUGAGCUGGACCUGAUGCUAUUACCAUAUGACUUUGAUUUCCUCUGCUGGCUACCUAUUAAAAGGAUUAUUCUGCAGUCGUUGCAGACGAACGUUACAUGCAGGCACAUCCAGUCUGCUGUUCACAGGACUGCAGAGUGAAAUUCCACACAUCCAUGCAAAGUGGCAGCCACCCACAGUUCCUCCACCUUUCCACAACUUCCCAGAAGAAGAUCUUUGCUAAGAAUCACUCACUUGAUGCCCUCACAAGCAUGAUGCUUCCAGAACAGACCCACCGUAUGUAUACUUGAAGUGGUCGAGCUAUUCUUCCUACCUUAUGAAGUACAGAAGUCAUUUUUACAACUUUAACAAGAACAACAACACAGGUUCAAAUUGCACUCUGCUAAAGGUGACUGCUCCUGAAGAACUUUCUUCUGAAGAUAUAGAGGAGCUGACAGAAUAAAAAAGACCC